rnacentral:rRNA from 1 species
UACGUAGGGGGCUAGCGUUGUCCGGAAUCAUUGGGCGUAAAGAGCGUGUAGGCGGUCCGGUAAGUCCGCUGUGAAAGUCGGGGGCUCAACCCUCGAAUGCCGGUGGAUACUGUCGGGCUAGAGUGCGGAAGAGGCGAGUGGAAUUCCUGGUGUAGCGGUGAAAUGCGCAGAUAUCAGGAGGAACACCAAUGGCGAAGGCAGCUCGCUGGGACGGUACUGACGCUGAGACGCGAAAGCGUGGGAAGCAAACAGG